AAUGACAAAAUAAGUGUAAAAUUGAAAAAAAACCAAAACGAAAAAUCAUUUAUUUCAACUUGGUAGCAUCGACAGUUAGGGUUUUUGCUAUUCUUCAUCUUUCUCUCACUCUCACCUCCUCGCCGCCUCUGUGGCUUUGUUGCUUCCUGCGAAUCUCAUCUUGCAACCACUCAACAAUGGCAGAACAGGUGAGGUCGAUCAUCAGACAUGGCGGAAGCCGCACAAAAGCUAGAACAGCUAGAACAAGCUAUGGGGAAUGUUAGAGAACAUGGUCUUUCUCAAUUGGCUUCUGAGACGGUUCAUUAUAAUCCUUCAGAUCUGUCUACUUGACUUGAAUCUAUGCUUUUCGAGUUUAAUCCUUCGCAACUACCUUUAACACGGCAAAUCUGGUACUACUACCUUCUAUUGGAUCGGGUGUAGAUCCUAUUAUUGUGAACCCAUCUACCCAGUGUUCUUUUCUACUACCAGGUCCUAAUUCCGGCCCUCUCCCCCUUUUGGGUCACUAUAUUUUGCAGUCGGAUGAUACUAAUUUGGGUUCUUGUUUUUUCCGGGUUCUGUCUAGCUAGGUUCAGGUUUCCUAGUAAAAAAAACUAGUUGCCUUGAGGAUGGCAGCGGUGAUUUACAAGAAACUGAGUGGAAUAUUUUCUGAAUUACAUGAGUGGAAACUUGAGUCUCCUCUAGCCCAACUUCUUGACAAAGUUGAGAAAUACUUCAACACGAUUAAAGGAGAAGUAGAAGCCUUAGAACAAACCAAAGACGAUGAGAUAGAGUUGAGUAUAUUCCUUUCCUCCUUCAUUGGUUAUAUCUGAUGGAUUUACUGGCUUAUCUCUGUUUUAACAUCAUACAUGUUAGAAAUUACACACACAAGGGGCAACUUUAUGGUGCAAGCACACACAGAAAUGUCACAUCCUCUGGAGGAGAGAGAAAACCAAAGGGACACGAUGAGAGAUUAGUUUAUGUUGAGUAGAGAAUUAGUGAAAUUUAGUGGCUUAUUUAAUUGAGGACAAGAACAUAUUGAGUAUCAUUCAAACUCAGAUAGUCAUAUACUUAUGUAUUUUUGAGAUGGAUAUAUUGUUGGGGAAUACAGUUAAACAUAAUAACAUGUGCGGAAACAAUCCCCAAAGCCAGGAAUCAUAUAUAAAGCACAUAUUAAGCAUA